rnacentral:rRNA from 1 species
UACGUAGGGUGCAAGCGUUGUCCGGAAUUAUUGGGCGUAAAGAGCUCGUAGGCGGCUUGUCACGUCGACUGUGAAAACCCGGGGCUCAACUCCGGGCCUGCAGUCGAUACGGGCUGGCUUGAGUGUGGUAGGGGAGACUGGAAUUCCUGGUGUAGCGGUGAAAUGCGCAGAUAUCAGGAGGAACACCGAUGGCGAAGGCAGGUCUCUGGGCCACUACUGACGCUGAGAAGCGAAAGCAUGGGGAGCGAACAGG